AACGUAGGAGGCGAGCGUUAUCCGGAUUCACUGGGCGUAAAGCGCGCGUAGGCGGUCGGUCAAGUCGGACGUUAAAGCCCUUGGCUCAACUGGGGGAGGUCGUUCGAUACUGGUCGGCUUGAGGAUGAGAGGGGAGAGUGGAAUUCCCGGUGUAGCGGUGGAAUGCGUAGAGAUCGGGAGGAACACCAGUGGCGAAAGCGGCUCUCUGGCUCAUUCCUGACGCUGAGUGCGCGACAGCGUGGGGAGCAAACGGG
rnacentral:rRNA from 1 species